UGGGGAAUAUUGCACAAUGGGGGAAACCCUGAUGCAGCGACGCCGCGUGAAGGAAGAAGUAUCUCGGUAUGUAAACUUCUAUCAGCAGGGAAGAAAAUGACGGUACCUGACUAAGAAGCCCCGGCUAACUACGUGCCAGCAGCCGCGGUAAUACGUAGGGGGCAAGCGUUAUCCGGAUUUACUGGGUGUAAAGGGAGCGUAGACGGAAUGGCAAGUCUGAUGUGAAAGGCGGGGGCUCAACCCCUGGACUGCAUUGGAAACUGUCAGUCUUGAGUACCGGAGGGGUAAGCGGAAUUCCUAGUGUAGCGGUGAAAUGCGUAGAUAUUAGGAGGAACACCAGUGGCGAAGGCGGCUUACUGGACGGUAACUGACGUUGAGGCUCGAAAGCGUGGGGAGCAAACA
rnacentral:rRNA from 1 species